UUCUUUUCUUCUCGCAUCCUUUGAGGUUUCAUUUUCUUGCUUUAUCAAACCAUGGGGGUGACCACCAUCAACAACGAAUUCAAUUGCCCAAUCCCACCUGCUAGGAUUUUCAAGGCUGCAGUCCUUGAUGCCCACAACUUACUUCCCAAGAUCCUUCCUGACAAGAUUAAAAGCAUUCAAAUUCAUGGUGAUGGUGGGGCUGGAUCCAUCAAACAGAUCAACUUGGCUGAUGAUGGCCCUUUUGACUUCAUCAAGCAUCGGAUUGAAGAAGUUGACGAACAUAAUUUUAAGUGCAAAUUUACUCUGAUCGAAGGUGCUGUUAUAGGGGAAAAGAUUGAAAAGGUUGUUGAUACUGUUCAGUUCGUGGCCUCUGCAGACGGGGGAUCCAUCUGUAAGACUACUUCUGAGUUUUACACUAUUGGUGACUAUAAGAUGGGUGAAGAUGAAAUCCAGAUGGGUAAGGAUAUGGCCACUGGGACGUUCAAGAUGGUGGUAGAAUACCUCUGCAAGAACCCAGAUGCCUAUGCUUAAAGAGUCUCUUUUAGUUACUCUAUGGCAUCAAUAGAGCUGUUAUGGCUCACUAUCAAGAAGUCAUCCAUUGUGUUUGUGCUUUUGUUUCUUGUUUUGUUUUUGUUUAAUAAAAGGA